UCGGGGGAAAGGCAGAAAAAGCUGCUGAGAAGCUGAUUUCUCGGCGGAGUUCAGUGGGUUGGCAGGCGGACGGGGGCAGAGGCACAAUCUGUGCUUGAGCGGCUGCCGGCGCCGUGCCAGCCCUUUUCGGCAGGAGAUGGCUGGGGGUUUCAUAACCCCUUCAAAGCCAAGACAGGCUCCUGCGCUCGCCUGCAGACAAACCCUCGGCGGAGACGUUUGGCUGCGAGCUCUUCCCUGCUGCCAGAGGGCUUGGGAGAGACGUGGAGGGGGCUCUUCGGGGUCCCGAUACCCACCACAACCCCUCCCACCCCCCAACACACGCACCUUUGAGACCCACACCGGCAGCCCCGAGGAUGCAGGUUUGCGUUCAGCGAGCUCCUGCCCCCGAAGCGGCGGUGCCGGUGGUGUGAUGCAACCCCGGGGCUGGGAAGUCUCUUUCUCCUCCGGUAAAUAUUUAUUUAGGCAGAGAAAGGAGCUGAUUAAUUAAAGCUGCGGCUGACAACUGCACCCAAACUAAUUCCUCUUAAUAAGACACUUGCAGUCGCCCUGGCAACAGCAUCAGAGCAGCCUCCCUCCAGGAGAUGACUUCCUGGGGUGAAAAACCCCCUUGGAUGCAAAGUGGGAUGCUGAAGAGGACCCUCCGGAGAUGAUGCUGUGGCCGAAGCUGCUCGUCCCCACCUCCAUCAUGCCCCGCUCCAUCCCUGGAGGAGACAGCAGGUCCCAGCCUCUCCUAGCAGCCAGCCCUGCUCUAAUUAGUGGCCCAAUUAGCCCAGCGAAGGCCAGCUAAUGAAUGCAGAGGAGCUGCGGCACAGGGGGCAGGCACGGCCGGGGCACUUCCAUGGCACGCAGUGGUGUCGCAGCUCAGUGUGGGGCAAGGUGAUGGGGACAGCAGCGGUGCCCACCCCUGUGGCUUUGCCAAGGGUGCAGCAAAGAUGGGCAGGGUGGAGAACCGGGGGAAGGGAAACGAGGAUGGGGAAGGGAAGGAACGGCCAAGCCCCGCACCAGCGGGAGCAGGCAGGGGUAAGGUGCCCAAACCUGCCUGGAUGUGUUUGUGUGCCCUGCUCUAGGUGAUCUUGCUCUGGCAGUGUUGGAACUAGCAGAUCUUUAAGGUCCCUUCCAACCCAGACCGUUCUGUGCCUCUCUGGAUGCUGCAGCCAAGCUGGGGUGGCCCCGGUGAGAAGGGGAAGGCACAGCUCCAGCAAUCCAUCUCCUCCCCCCUCCCC